rnacentral:rRNA from 1 species
AACGCGAAGAACCUUACCUGGAUUUGACAUCCUCUGACAACCCUAGAGAUAGGGCUUUGGUAGCAAUACCACAGAGAGACAGGUGCUGCAUGGCUGUCGUCAGCUCGUGUGGUGACAUGUUGGGUUAAGUCCCGCAACGAGCGCAACCCUUGUCUUUAGUUGCCAGCAUUAAGUUGGGCUCUCUAAAGAGACUGCCGUGGUUAACACGGAGGAAGGUGGGGAUGACGUCAAGUCCUCAUGGCCUUUAUAUCCAGGGCGACACACGUGAUACAAUGGAUGGUACAGAGGGACGCGAAACGGCAACGUGGAGCUAAUCUCAAAAAGCCAUUCUCAGUUCGGAUUGGAGUCUGCAACUCGACUCCAUGAAGUUGGAAUCGCUAGUAAUCGCGGAUCAGCACGCCGCGGUGAAUACGUUCCCGGGCCUUGUACACACCGAGACGUA